rnacentral:rRNA from 1 species
GAUGAACGCUGGCGGCGUGCCUAAUACAUGCAAGUCGAGCGAACGGACGAGAAGCUUGCUUCUCUGAUGUUAGCGGCGGACGGGUGAGUAACACGUGGAUAACCUACCUAUAAGACUGGGAUAACUUCGGGAAACCGGAGCUAAUACCGGAUAAUAUUUUGAACCGCAUGGUUCAAAAGUGAAAGACGGUCUUGCUGUCACUUAUAGAUGGAUCCGCGCUGCAUUAGCUAGUUGGUAAGGUAACGGCUUACCAAGGCAACGAUGCAUAGCCGACCUGAGAGGGUGAUCGGCCACACUGGAACUGAGACACGGUCCAGACUCCUACGGGAGGCAGCAGUAGGGAAUCUUCCGCAAUGGGCGAAAGCCUGACGGAGCAACGCCGCGUGAGUGAUGAAGGUCUUCGGAUCGUAAAACUCUGUUAUUAGGGAAGAACAUAUGUGUAAGUAACUGUGCACAUCUUGACGGUACCUAAUCAGAAAGCCACGGCUAACUACGUGCCAGCAGCCGCGGUAAUACGUAGGUGGCAAGCGUUAUCCGGAAUUAUUGGGCGUAAAGCGCGCGUAGGCGGUUUUUUAAGUCUGAUGUGAAAGCCCACGGCUCAACCGUGGAGGGUCAUUGGAAACUGGAAAACUUGAGUGCAGAAGAGGAAAGUGGAAUUCCAUGUGUAGCGGUGAAAUGCGCAGAGAUAUGGAGGAACACCAGUGGCGAAGGCGACUUUCUGGUCUGUAACUGACGCUGAUGUGCGAAAGCGUGGGGAUCAAACAGGAUUAGAUACCCUGGUAGUCCACGCCGUAAACGAUGAGUGCUAAGUGUUAGGGGGUUUCCGCCCCUUAGUGCUGCAGCUAACGCAUUAAGCACUCCGCCUGGGGAGUACGACCGCAAGGUUGAAACUCAAAGGAAUUGACGGGGACCCGCACAAGCGGUGGAGUAUGUGGUUUAAUUCGAAGCAACGCGAAGAACCUUACCAAAUCUUGACAUCCUUUGACAACUCUAGAGAUAGAGCCUUCCCCUUCGGGGGACAAAGUGACAGGUGGUGCAUGGUUGUCGUCAGCUCGUGUCGUGAGAUGUUGGGUUAAGUCCCGCAACGAGCGCAACCCUUAAGCUUAGUUGCCAUCAUUAAGUUGGGCACUCUAAGUUGACUGCCGGUGACAAACCGGAGGAAGGUGGGGAUGACGUCAAAUCAUCAUGCCCCUUAUGAUUUGGGCUACACACGUGCUACAAUGGACAAUACAAGGGGCAGCGAAACCGCGAGGUCAAGCAAAUCCCAUAAAGUUGUUCUCAGUUCGGAUUGUAGUCUGCAACUCGACUACAUGAAGCUGGAAUCGCUAGUAAUCGUAGAUCAGCAUGCUACGGUGAAUACGUUCCCGGGUCU